rnacentral:rRNA from 1 species
UGUGAACGCUGGCGGUAGGCCUAACACAUGCAAGUCGAACGGCAGCACAGUAAGAGCUUGCUCUUACGGGUGGCGAGUGGCGGACGGGUGAGGAAUACAUCGGAAUCUACUUUUUCGUGGGGGAUAACGUAGGGAAACUUACGCUAAUACCGCAUACGACCUACGGGUGAAAGCAGGGGAUCUUCGGACCUUGCGCGAUUGAAUGAGCCGAUGUCGGAUUAGCUAGUUGGCGGGGUAAAGGCCCACCAAGGCGACGAUCCGUAGCUGGUCUGAGAGGAUGAUCAGCCACACUGGAACUGAGACACGGUCCAGACUCCUACGGGAGGCAGCAGUGGGGAAUAUUGGACAAUGGGCGCAAGCCUGAUCCAGCCAUACCGCGUGGGUGAAGGAGGCCUUCGGGUUGUAAAGCCCUUUUGUUGGGAAAGAAAAGCAGCAGGUUAAUACCCCGCUGUUCUGACGGUACCCAAAGAAUAAGCACCGGCUAACUUCGUG